rnacentral:rRNA from 1 species
CCUACGGGAGGCAGCAGUAGGGAAUCUUCCGCAAUGGACGAAAGUCUGACGGAGCAACGCCGCGUGAACGAUGAAGGCCUUCGGGUCGUAAAGUUCUGUUGUUAGGGAAGAACAAGUGCUAGUUAAAUAAGCUGGCACCUUGACGGUACCUAACCAGAAAGCCACGGCUAACUACGUGCCAGCAGCCGCGGUAAUACGUAGGUGGCAAGCGUUGUCCGGAAUUAUUGGGCGUAAAGCGCGCGCAGGCGGUUUCUUAAGUCUGAUGUGAAAGCCCCCGGCUCAACCGGGGAGGGUCAUUGGAAACUGGGAAACUUGAGUGCAGAAGAGGAAAGUGGAAUUCCAAGUGUAGCGGUGAAAUGCGUAGAGAUUUGGAGGAACACCAGUGGCGAAGGCGACUUUCUGGUCUGUAACUGACGCUGAGGCGCGAAAGCGUGGGGAGCAAACAGGAUUAGAUACCCUGGUAGUCCACGCUGUAAACGAUGAGUGCUAAGUGUUAGAGGGUUUUCCGCACUUUAGUGCUGAAGUUAACGCAUUAAGCACUCCGCCUGGGGAUACGGUCGCAAGACUGAAACUCAAAGGAAUUGACGG